rnacentral:tRNA from 1 species
GGAUAUAGCUCAAGAGGCAGAGCUGCAUGCUUGGCAUGCAUGAGGUCAUGGGUUCAAUCCCCAGUACCUCCU